UGGGGAAUUUUGGACAAUGGGCGAAAGCCUGAUCCAGCAAUGCCGCGUGUGUGAAGAAGGCCUUCGGGUUGUAAAGCACUUUUGUCCGGAAAGAAAUCCUCUGGGUUAAUACCUGCGGGGGGAUGACGGUACCGGAAGAAUAAGCACCGGCUAACUACGUGCCAGCAGCCGCGGUAAUACGUAGGGUGCAAGCGUUAAUCGGAAUUACUGGGCGUAAAGCGUGCGCAGGCGGUUUUGUAAGACGGAUGUGAAAUCCCCGGGCUUAACCUGGGAACUGCAUUCGUGACUGCAAGGCUAGAGUAUGGCAGAGGGGGGUAGAAUUCCACGUGUAGCAGUGAAAUGCGUAGAGAUGUGGAGGAAUACCGAUGGCGAAGGCAGCCCCCUGGGCCAAAUACUGACGCUCAUGCACGAAAGCGUGGGGAGCAAACAGGAUUAGAUACCCUGGUAGUCCACGCCCUAAACGAUGUCAACUAGUUGUUGGGGAUUCAUUUCCUUAGUAACGUAGCUAACGCGUGAAGUUGACCGCCUGGGGAGUACGGUCGCAAGAUUAAAACUCAAAGGAAUUGAC
rnacentral:rRNA from 1 species